rnacentral:rRNA from 1 species
ACACUCCUGCGGGAGGCAGCAGUGGGGAAUAUUGCACAAUGGGCGCAAGCCUGAUGCAGCCAUGCCGCGUGUAUGAAGAAGGCCUUCGGGUUGUAAAGUACUUUCAGCGGGGAGGAAGGCGAUAAGGUUAAUAACCUUGUCGAUUGACGUUACCCGCAGAAGAAGCACCGGCUAACUCCGUGCCAGCAGCCGCGGUAAUACGGAGGGUGCAAGCGUUAAUCGGAAUUACUGGGCGUAAAGCGCACGCAGGCGGUCUGUCAAGUCGGAUGUGAAAUCCCCGGGCUCAACCUGGGAACUGCAUUCGAAACUGGCAGGCUAGAGUCUUGUAGAGGGGGGUAGAAUUCCAGGUGUAGCGGUGAAAUGCGUAGAGAUCUGGAGGAAUACCGGUGGCGAAGGCGGCCCCCUGGACAAAGACUGACGCUCAGGUGCGAAAGCGUGGGGAGCAAACAGGAUUAGAAACCCCAGUAGUCCCA